rnacentral:rRNA from 1 species
CGGUGCCUACGGGGCGCAGCAGUGGGGAAUAUUGCACAAUGGGGGAAACCCUGAUGCAGCGACGCCGCGUGAGUGAAGAAGUAUUUCGGUAUGUAAAGCUCUAUCAGCGGGGAAGGAGAAGGACGGUACCUGAGUAAGAAGCCCCGGCUAACUACGUGCCAGCAGCCGCGGUAAUACGUAGGGGGCAAGCGUUAUCCGGAUUUACUGGGUGUAAAGGGAGCGUAGACGGCGAAGAAAGUCUGAAGUGAAAGCCCGCGGCUCAACCGCGGAAUGGCCUUGGAAACUUUUUUGUUGGAGUACCGGAG